CUAGCUCCCACUUGAAAUGCAGGCUAGCGUGCCGUAGGUUUGCUCUAGUUGAGUGGCAUGCUAAUACUGCAGACCUACUGUCAGUUGUGCUGGCGUACUCACUUAAUGGCUUGCAGUUGUUGCUAUUAGCAAACAGUAAUUGCUUGUGAUUGAAGAUAUACUGUAAUCCCCCUUUUAAUUCUUUGUUUUCAAUUAAUCAUUGAAAUGUCAUUGUAUCAGGACGGUAAUUGUGGCAUCUUCCGUUUUGAUCAGUUUAAAAUAUACGUGCAAGGGCUGUUGUGUGAGAUCAAGAGAAACAGGAGAAAGCUUCAAGGCUGUGCAGCCUCCUGUCCUGCUCCUUGCGAGGCACAACAAAACUUCCCGCAGCGCAAGAGAUGAGGACUGGCUGUAUCUGAAAGCACGCAGAGAUUUCCGAAAUAGAGCCUUCAAGCUUCCUCACAUAAAUCAAGACUUCUGCGGGUAUAACGGGAGGGGGUUUGCUGGGCUGGGGAAAAAGGAGAAGGCUGUUAAUCCUGGUGCCGUGGCUGCACGGUGGGAGCGUGGGGGAAGCUGCCAACUCCGUCCCCCUGCACAGCUCCAGCUGCAGCGGGAGUGCAGGCAGAAAUCUCCCCCAGCACUACCCUUUCCGUCACUCAGCCAAAGUUUUGUGCAAAUAAAUAGCCUUCGGCGUGUACCCUUUGCUCUGCAGCCACCAGGGGAGAAGGCGGCUCACCGACAGGAGCAUCAGAUAAGUGUCCGAGGUUAAGGAGGACGAACCCGAGCCACAGAGGUGUCAUCUAGAUCGUGGCCACACGAGGAAAUGUUUCGUCAACAUUCCCUAAAACUGAGCUUCGCUGCAGCUGGCCAGCAUCGGCACAGCUGCCCAGAUCGAGGUCCACAUAAUAGAAGCGGGUUUUGAGUGUAAUUUCUGACCCAAGAAUUGGAAACACUCAGGUCUGGUUAAAACGCAGAAGCCAAGAAAAAUCAGCGGAAGACUUCAUUUGAGAGGAUUUAGUCGCAUCUCUCCUCCGCGGCCAUGUCUCUCGUGCGUGCCCUGCUGGCAGUGACAAGCGUGCUGAGGCUGAGUCAAAUUCUCCUGGCGGGCUAAACGGGAGCAGACGGUGUCCCCUCAUCCUCAGGUGAAAAUGAUUCAUUUCUUGCAACGAGAAUGUGUCUCUGCCUCUCGCCCGGACCAUCUCUCUCUUCAUUUCCUUCCUAUUCUCUCCUCUGCCAGAGCACUGCAUCAAUCAUUUUCCUUCGCUGAGGACUAUCUCUGCUGCAGACUUGUCUCAAACGUUCGGGAGAUGAGCUCGCUGUCAGCAGACACCUCCUGAUGUGUGGCUCGACUGAGCCGCCACUGACCCCUCGCAGGCACUCGCUCACACCCUACCCCUACACACCGCUUUUUUUUGUUGACCUGGUUAUAGGGAAAUGAAGGGGAAAAGCGGAAAACAACGAGCAUGCAAGCAACACUGCCGGGGAGCAAAAAGCCCAUGGGAAGAGCGGUGAAAAAUCACACGCAGCAGAGAAAGUCUCCAGAGGGAAGGCGAAGAUUUAGGGCAGCCAGACAGUAAUUGCAGUGUUUGCAAAAGUCAGCGUGCCUGCACCGUGUUAUUUACAGCAAACAAUGGGAUCGCUCGGCACAAUCCUCUUUCUGUUCGCGAGGCUUGUGAUUUUGUUAUUUCGUUGUUGCUGUUGUUCAGUCCCCAUUUGAUCAGACUUCCCAGAAAAUUUUCCCGACGCUUUGGCCUCUCAGAUGCAGCUUUUCGGACUGCUGUGAGCGCUGUUGAUAUCAGAGGUUCUAAAACAAAGCGGAGUUGGUUAGGCUGGGUUAGCCAUAACAGGAGUGUCGCAGAGCCACGGCUGGGUAGGCUUUGCUCCAGGAGGCAGGUUUCUGGGACAAACAAUAUCUGUGAGCACAGACAUCAUUUGCUGGGGGCGAUGCAAUGAGAGCUCUUUGCAGGAGGGGUGAGAAAACAAAAUUGAAACCACUUUUGAGCCGCUCAUCAGGCUGUUGUGCAGCUUCCAACCCUUCUCCACCAGCACUGAAUUUUAUGGAAAACUCAGGAGCUCCUGAGCUGUAGGGCUUGUAUAAACAUGGCAUGCAUACAACGUGUGGGCAUCACUUGUGGAAGCAGCCCUCUUGUUCAGACCGCACAGAGCUCUUAACUGAAGGGGAAACAAGAGUCGGAAGUGUCACACUCUGUUCAUAGUCAGAUUUUGGGUUGCACAAGCCAGUUUUGGCAGAGAAGAUACGGUAAAAUAUCGAUGUGAAAUAACAGGAUAUUCGUAUGAAAACAAGUGACCAGUAUAAUUUCUGCACCCACGUGAUUUUUGUUCCAAGAAAAUACAUUUGUGCGUGGUUUAACCCGUGUAAUCUCAUAGCUCAGUGCAUGUUUCUCAUUCUUUUGCAUGUCCUUAUGAAGAGGCGUCGCUGCGUAAACCUGAUGCAAGGUUCUCCUUCUCCCACCAGCACAGGUGUUAACUGGGUAGCAGCUGACUCACCUUCUCCUGAUGCACCACUCCCCGGGCACAUCUGUGAUACCAACACCUCCAGACAUUCCUCCCCUGAGUCCAGCCCCAAAUAAUCCCAGAAUUGAAUUACAAUAUAUGAGGUUUUUAAAGCAAGGAAUCUGGGGGUUCUUUUAGGAUUUUAAGGAUUCAUAUUUUUGCUCUGCAUUGUGAGAUCCAGAAACCACCUUUCCUUUACAAAGAAAGUUGAGACUUCCCCAGGCUUCCCAUUAAUGAAGAAUUUGGAACGUUAAAAAAAAGUAUCUUAGGUCAUGGGAAAAUUGGUGAAGAUGAUCACAGUGCUCAAAAUAAGCUAUGUGAGCUCUUUUCUUCUCUCUACAUACCAGAUGAAGAGCUGUCUAAUUUUCAGACUGCCUCUCAUAUAACUGGAAAGGAGAGGAACACUCAAAAAUCAAAUGAUAGAAAGGAUGUUUCUUACGAGGAACAUGUGGGAUUGAGGAUUUAUGGACUGAAGUGGGUUGGGCUGAUAGACUGUGUGGACACCAUACAGGCUGGAAAGGGAUGCAGCUGGAGGGAAGGCAGCCUCCUUCCCCCAAAAAGGACUACCUGGGGAUGUAGGUAAAUGCACUGCAGUUCCCUAAAUACACUGUAUUUCCCCCCAUGGUGAAGUACAUGGGUUCUUCUUACGGAGAAGUUCUCCAGGGACACUCAGAAGCUGCUGUUUUCUCUGUCUCAUCAGUGAAAGCCCGUAGGUGUGUGCAGGUGGAUGUGUGCCCGGAACCUGUGGGCGUGCUUGCGCCUUGUUUACCCAAGGACACGGCAGUAAGGGUGGCUUGGUGGCACAGCCUCUCGGUGCGAUACGGCAACCGGAGAAUACAGGCUUUGUGUGGCCUGCGUUCAAGGAGCCACCCCUCUAUUCCCAGGCUAAACGAAAGGUGUGUCGGGAGUUAUGGGCUUCACCCGUGUCGCAAUGCAGCAUCUGAUUGCUGGGAAGCCACGCUGCAGGUGUGCACGGGAUAUCCCACUCCCCGCUCUUAACCCUGUGCAGCUGGUGGCAAACGACAGGAGGAGCAGAUUACAUUUCGGAGCGUUGCACAGCUCCGGACUGGAUGCAGCCACAAGGGCACGAUGAAGAGGCAGGGUGUGCAGUAACAGUUCUGCCAUGGUCUGAGCGUGUGGCAUCAGGUCGCAGCAGCAGAGGUGUCACAGUCCUUCCUCCUGUGUUAAACUCAUCCCUGGGGUACAUCAAACGGGUAUAUGAGAAGGGACAGCAGCUCUGAUGUUCCUAGCUGAUGCUGCCACUGAAAUUCCCCCUGUAACUACAACCAGCCACUUUUGAUAGACAUUUUUAACUUGUAGUUUUCCAUUCCUGUGCAUUCAGCACACCUGUGCUGCAAGCAGGGUGGAUGAUGUUUCUCUAAAGGGCUAAUCCUAGAGAUCCUUGGGGAAAAAAGGGUCUUUGAACAUCCAGCACUGCAUGUUGGCCUACUGCUAAUCGGUAAAUGUAACUUCCAGUGGAGUCUGGGAGGAAGAAAAACACCCUGAAAGCUGGUGGGGAAGGGUUAACAAAUGAAAUAAGGAUGGGAAAUUGAAAUAUUCUUUCUGGCUCAGAGACGGAAGGCAAAAGUGCUCAUCAAGCACGGAGUCUCUUUAUCUGGUAUCUGACAGUGCCACGGGGGACAGCGAGAUGCCUGCAAACCAAGGUCACUGCCUACCUCUUGCUCCGUGCUGGCACAAAAGGGAAAGCUGGGUCUCCAGCACAGCCGAGCUGAUCGAGUGACACAGGACAGGAAGGGAAGAGUGGAAAAAGGCAGAAGUGCCAGCACCCACGU